GCUGGGCGUAGUGGCGCAUGCCUGUAGUCCCAGCUACUCAGGAGGCUGAGGCAGGAGAAUCACUUGAACCUGGGAGGUGGAGGUUGCAGUGAGCCAAGAUUGCGCCACUGCACUCCAGCCUGGGUGACAGAGUGAGAUUCUGUCUCAA
ensembl:misc_RNA Metazoa_SRP Metazoan signal recognition particle RNA